UGGAAGAAUCAUUUGUUUUUGUUCACUUUGUUAUUUGCUUUGUUUAUUGAUAGAAUGAAAGAUAUCUAAGCUAUAUUUUCAAAUUAGUUGCAUUUCAGUUUAAAUAGAUAUAGACUAUAAGAUGCACCCAAAAAAUGGAUGCCUGUCCAAAGGAUGGUUGUAUUUUAUUUUGAAAAAGUUAGAUUUAAACUUUGAAUGACCACCAACAAUCCAUUGCAACUUUAACCUUGACUACCUGUGACCUUUGUUUACAUGUGUAAUCAUGAAGUGUCCUUUGGCUCUUGGAGUCUGUACGAAUAAAGAACAGAUCUCUAUAGUAAUAAAAUUUGAAAAGGCUGACAUUUUUUGGUAUACUAAAAAACGUGGAUGGUAGCAUAGGAUAUUUGCAGUAGAAGUUGCCAACAGCUAUUUUGGAAUGGAAAACAAGUGCUAAAUGGACUGACAGUUAUUUUUUAGGUUCAAAGCAAGAUGUAUAUAGAAUUAUUAUGUGUACAAAAGUGCUUGCUUCUCUAUAUUAUCAAGACGCAUUACU
rnacentral:lncRNA from 1 species